rnacentral:rRNA from 1 species
UACGUAGGCAGCAAGCGUUGUUCGGAGUUACUGGGCGUAAAGAGUGCGUAGGCGGUUUCGUAAGUUUGGUGUGGAAUCUCCCGGCUUAACUGGGAGGGUGCGCCGAAAACUGCGGGGCUGGAGUAUGGGAGAGGUAAGCGGAAUUCCUGGUGUAGCGGUGAAAUGCGUAGAUAUCAGGAGGAACACCGGCGGUGUAGACGGCUUACUGGACCAUGACUGACGCUGAGGCACGAAAGCGUGGGGAGCAAACAGG